CUGUCUUCUCAUCUCCAGUCCCUACCAAGCGAUCUAAGGUCAAGAUCCAUGCUGCUAUUAAAUCCGCAUCGGCAGCGGAACCGACGGGGUCUUCGUCUGCGAGCGAGGUUCGUGUUGAGAAAUAAGGACCGGUUUUGGAUCCUGGAUUCGGAAUCUGAAGAGCCGGAGAUUGGAUCCUCUGAUCCGUAAGCUAUGGAUACGGAGAAGACUGUUUUAAACCGAUGUGCCUGUUUUGGAGAUCUCUCUUGAAGCCGACACAAACCCUAAAGUUGAUGUCGUGCCGACACCUACAAUAGCAGGGGAAGUGGUGACGGAUGGUGAGAAGUCGAAGGCGGGGAAGAAUCGAGCUAAGGAUCCAUGGGCGAAGCUACUUUCUGAGUACUCUCAGAACCCACACCGUAUCAUGAGGGGCGCUGUAUUCACUGUUAGAUGCCGAGGAUGUGAUUUAUCUAUCACACCAAUAUAUGCUCAGCACCCUGUGUGAAA